GACGAACGCUGGCGGCGUGCUUAACACAUGCAAGUCGAACGGAAAGGCCCUGCUUGCCGGGUACUCGAGUGGCGAACGGGUGAGUAACACGUGGGUGAUCUGCCCUGCACUUCGGGAUAAGCCUGGGAAACUGGGUCUAAUACCGGAUAGGAGCCAUUUUUAGUGUGAUGGUUGGAAAGUUUUUUCGGUGUAGGAUGAGCUCGCGGCCUAUCAGCUUGUUGGUGGGGUAAUGGCCUACCAAGGCGGCGACGGGUAGCCGGCCUGAGAGGGUGGACGGCCACAUUGGGACUGGGAUACGGCCCAGACUCCUACGGGAGGCAGCAGUGGGGAAUAUUGCACAAUGGGCGCAAGCCUGAUGCAGCGACGCCGCGUGGGGGAUGACGGCCUUCGGGUUGUAAACUCCUUUCGCUAGGGACGAAGCUUUUUGUGACGGUACCUAGAUAAGAAGCACCGGCUAACUACGUG
rnacentral:rRNA from 1 species